rnacentral:rRNA from 1 species
GACGAACGCUGGCGGCGUGCUUAACACAUGCAAGUCGAACGGUGGGGCCUCAGCUUGCUGGGGUCGAUCAGUGGCGAACGGGUGAGUAACACGUGGGCAACCUGCCCCAGCCUCUGGAAUAAGCGAUGGAAACGGCGUCUAUUCCUGGGUACGAGAGCAGGCCGCUUGGGGAUGGUGUGGAAAGUUUUUCGGUUUGGGUUGGGCGCGCGGCUUGUCAGCUUGUUGGGGGGGUAGUGGCUGACCAAGGCCAGGACGGGUAGCCGGCCUGAGAGGGGGACCGGCCACACUGGGACUGAGAUACGGCCCAGACUCCUACGGGAGGCAGCAGUGGGGAAUAUUGCACAAUGGGCGGAAGCCUGAUGCAGCGACGCCGCGUGAGGGAUGACGGCCUUCGGGUUGUAAACCUCUUUCAGCAGGGAAGAAGCGAAAGUGACGGUACCUGCAGAAGAAGCACCGGCUAACUACGUG